GAGAGAAUAGUUUUCAGUUGAAUCAACUGCCUGGUGCUACUAACAGAGAAAAGGGAACAAGGACCAGUGGAGGCCAGAUCCUCAACAACUUCAAGGAAGCAAGCAAAUAAAGGGUGGAUUCCUUUUUAGAGGGACUGCCAUGUGGUCCUAAAGGAGAACACAUCCUCCCAACAGGAAGACUUUGUUUUCUCUCAUUUUUAUUCUCUGUUUGACUUUUCAGAAGUAUAAUCUGUCACUUGUGAGAACAUAAAGAAUUGGACUGGAAGUGUUCCAGACUCUUUACUCUUGUUAUUGACUUUGGCAAUACUGUGAAUGACACUGAACAGUUGAGAUGACAUUACAGUUCUGGGCUGGGCUUUGCUCUUACAGCUUGGAAGUUAAUUCUUCAUUUUCAUCUUAAAUCAGCCACACAAAAUAGAGG